AUCUAAUUGUUUUCAGUGUGACUGACUUGUGACAGAAAGGCUUAGAUUAGAGGUCUUGGGGCCGAAACGAUCUCAACCUAUUCUCAAACUUUAAAUGGGUAAGAAGCCCGGCUCGCUGGCGUGGAGCCAGGCGUGGAAUGCGAGUGCCUAGUGGGCCACUUUUGGUAAGCAGAACUGGCGCUGCGGGAUGAACCG
rnacentral:ncRNA from 1 species